GUUUGCCGUGAAGAUCCCAAGGGUAGUUGCUAACUGAAACAUCAUGUUCAGGCCUCCCCGAAGAUGAGUUGGUGCCAUCUCUGAUAAGUAGAGUGGAACUGCCUUCAAUAACAAAUAAGCAUUAACGCAUUAGGAGUAAUUGAGACGAUUGCAAAUGAAGGUGUUUAAGCACGAGCGAGGCAUUCCAUUCUCUUCAUUAUCUGGUGCAGGAAGCAUACCUGAUUCCCAAAGCCAAUGCCUACACCAAGCAUUAUUCUUCCUAGGAUGAGCAUUUCAAUAUUUACGGCGGCUGCAUUUAGAGUUGCCCCAACAAGAAAGCUAAGUCCACCGCAGACUAUACUUGCACGGCGCCCAUAAUUCCUGGUGAUGGGGGAGGCCACCAAUGAGGAAACUAGUCCAGCAAGAUAUAGGGAUGAGGUAAAUGCUGCAAGCCCUUGAUUAUUGUACUUGCAGUAAUUGUUUUCGUGUGCACGCAUCUUGUUUCUGUACACCGUUGGAAAGAAUUUUUUAAGGAACGGAUUCAUCGAUGUCACCCC